ACUCUAGUAGUUUAUAAAAAACAUUGGUCUUGUAAACCAAAGACUGAAGGCCCUCCCCUUCCCAGAGUU
rnacentral:tRNA from 2 species